GCGCGAAAACUUUACAAUGCGGGAAACCGCGAUAAGGGGACACUGAGUGCCAGCACCAUGUGCUGGCUGUCCGCAUGUAUAAAUCACAUGUGUCAGCAAGGGCCGGGCAAGACCGGUGCCAGCCGCCGCGGUAACACCGGCGGCCCGAGUGGUGGCCAUUAUUAUUGGGUCUAGAGGGUCCGUAGCCGGUUUGAUCAGUCUUCCGGGAAAUCUGACAGCUCAACUGUUAGGCUUCUGGGGGAUACUGUCAGACUUGGAACCGGGAAAGGUAAGAGGUACUACAGGGGUAGGAGUGAAAUCUUGUAAUCCUUGUGGGACCACCAGUGGCGAAGGCGUCUUACCAGAACGGGUUCGACGGUGAGGGACGAAAGCUGGGGGCACGAACCGGAUUAGAUACCCGGGUAGUCCCAGCUGUAAACGAUGCUCGCUAGGUGUCUGGGAUGGUGCGACCGUUUCAGGUGCCGCAGGGAAGCCGUGAAGCGAGCCACCUGGGAAGUACGGCCGCAAGGCUGAAACU
rnacentral:rRNA from 1 species